rnacentral:tRNA from 1 species
GGCCCCAUAACUCAAUGGUUAGAGUAGCGGACUCAUAAUCCGUUAGUUACAGGUUCAAGUCCUGUUGGGGCCA